rnacentral:rRNA from 1 species
GAAAGAUUGGCUAAUACCGCAUACGACCUGAGGGUGAAAGCGGGGGACCGCAAGGCCUCGCGCAGCAGGAGCGGCCGAUGUCUGAUUAGCUAGUUGGUGGGGUAAAGGCCCACCAAGGCGACGAUCAGUAGCUGGUCUGAGAGGACGAUCAGCCACACUGGGACUGAGACACGGCCCAGACUCCUACGGGAGGCAGCAGUGGGGAAUUUUGGACAAUGGGGGCAACCCUGAUCCAGCAAUGCCGCGUGUG